AGGUUGCUGGUCUGCCUGUCCCAAGCCAGGCACUCAUCCCACCUGGAGCACCCUGCCAGCCACAAUUUAUCUGACUUUGGGUUUGACUGUGGAAUUACUCCCCAGAAAUAUUCUUUUGCAGGAUCCUUAUGAAGGCAUGUUCAAUUUGUAAGGAAAAUUGACUGAGUGGAUUUUUUCCUAAAGAUAAAGCAGCUUACAAGCUGUAUCUUUAGCACCUGGAAGAUUACCUGACACAUAAAUUGAAUGACUGUAAACAGGAGAGUACUUGUUAUUUAGCCAUCCAUCCAUCCAUCCAUCCAUCCAUCCAUCCAUCCAUCCAUCCAUCCAUC